UCCGACAAGACGGGGUUGGGGAGAGAAACCUGUUGUUUGCCUUGAGGAUGUGAGCCCCGGUCCCCGGGCGUUAAGGGGCGGUGGGGGGCGGUGUCCCCACCUGGGCCGACAUUCCUUCCCACCCGGGGUUGGUGCCAGGUCUACCCUUUCAAGCCAACGAAGCUGCGAGCCCGACCGUCGCGCACACGCAGGCCCCGCCUUCCUGCGAGCGGCCCCGCACUCCCCGCUCCGCGAUCCCGGUCCCGGCCCCGGUCCCCGCGGACGCGGCGUAACUGCGGCCCCGGGGCGCGAGCGGCGCAGACACGGAUGAUCCCGUCGGUCGCACCUGGCUGAGCAUCUUCCGGCUGGUUGUUUGGUUUGCGGGAAACGAUCUCCCCAUUCAACUGACUUAGAGCCGGGUCGGCAGGACCCCGUCCGCCCCGGCCGUGCAGUCACCUGUUUCGCUCCGCACAGCGCCGUCGCCGCCCCUGUGGCUGUCGCCGCCAGCUCCUAGCUCCGCCAUGGUGCUCCGAUGACGCGCCGGGAGAGCCGCUCCGCCCUCUUCCUCGGCCCCGCUCCCGCCAGGCCCCCGCCUCCAGGGCCCGCGGCCCAGACAGGGCGUCUAUAAUGUCUGGAGCCGGGCAGCCCCGGUGGCUCAGUGGUUUAGCGCCACCUUCAGCCCACGGCAUGAUCCUGGAGACCCAGGAUCGAGUCCCCAUGUCAGGCUCCCUGUAUGGAGCCUGCUUCAAACUUUUCUUGACCCCCACCCCACCCCUUGGCAGUCAGAUGUAACUAGAGCACUUACUACAUGUACCGUUGUUUCUGCUUUGUCUCCAUUCCACCUCUGACAGUCAACUUUUGGGGGCAAGAACUGUGUCUUCAUGUACCACAAUAUGUAGUACCCGGUUACGAGAGGCAGCUAUCUGUCCUUGAGAUUGGGAUAUAAAAAAAGAUGCAGCUAUGUUGUUGCAAGUAGCAAAUGAGAAAAUCAGUGAUGCACAAUCACAUGAAAUGUUGUAUCUGUUUCGUGUAAAAGAGACAUUUGGCCGAAGUGCAACAGCUGCUAAGAUUCUCCCUCCCCUGCGAAGAUCAGUUCUGUCUGUUAUAAUCUCCAAGGAAGGCUGGAAACAAACUAAGCGAUACAGUCAAGCCUGUGUGUCUCGAAAGUCGGUGAUGGCCUUCCACAGUGUGCAGAGCAUCCCUCCCCUGUUUAAAGACACAACAUAGGGAAGAGAACACUUCAUUUGAAACAUCGCCUUUGAUAUAUAAAAGUGACUUCUUAGCCUCUAGCUGCUCUGAUAGAACACGAAGAUCUCAAAGUCUUAUUGGUCCUCACUGUAUUCUUUCUAUGUUUUGGCAUCACCCCUCCCUGCCUUUCCUUUCUACUCCCACAAACUACCAGGUCCCAAAGCAUCCUUUCGUUUUUUCAGCACAUUUGAGAUGUGUUUUUACAGAGGUCUGUGUGAGUCUGUUAUGCAUAUGCUUGGCCUGCUAGAAAAAUUAUCGUAAGAAACUGUAUCAGGUUACAUAUGGUUCAUGGAUGGCAAAUCAGCACCUAUCCUAAUAUCUGGAUAUUUGGAUUGUAUGGUAUAACCAUAAAUUAGAGCAUUUGUUUAAGGCAGCUUUAAAAUGACUGCAUGGUCUCAGUCUACUAUAUUAUCAAAAAUUCUUUAGUUAAUUUUCAUUUACUAAUAUAGAAAAAUUAUUGGUUAUAAGAAUGCCUAGUAAUAUAGCCUGGUCCAACAAACUCAGUUUACUAAGUAAAUGAGAACCAGAGAGUGGCGCCCAGGACUGCUGAGAUGGUUAGGGGUGGUGAGGGGCCCAACCAGGGCAGGAACCCAGACUUCUCAGCCUAGCAUUCUUUGCACCAUAAACAAGAAACAGAAAGAAAAGUGGUACCUUAGUCUCAGGCAUUUUAAAUCAUCACGUGUAACAUAGUAGAGAACAUCCUCUAGUGAAUAAUCCUCAGCCAAAAACUGUGGAGAAAGUAAAAUAUGCAUAAAAAUAAGAUGUUUCAUACACCUAUAAUAAAUAAUAAACUCUAUCCAUAAUACAAACAUGGGCAGUAAUUUAAAAAUGAAUCUAAAAGGAAAUCUACUAAAAACACAAUCUUCCGGAAUUAUUAGGAAAAAGUCCCCCCUGUUAAAAAAUAACUACAAAGAAAUACAUCCAUAUGACUUCCAAAUGUGUAAAGAUUACAAGCAACACAAUUUCUGAAUGGCCUUCUAAUGAAUAGAUAAAACUCAUUUGUAAUUACAUGUCCCGCUCAUAAGAUAAUGUUUGUAUUUUAGAGGUUUUUUGCUUUAUUUUCCUCAAAUGGAUAAAAAGUGUUCCUGGAAAGGUAUUGUGUAAAUUUAAUUUCUCAAUUUAUUUUUCGUAACUCUUAAAAGGUUCUUUUUAGUAAUUACUAUAAAAUCAGAGUCCUGAAUUUAAACCGAAGCGUUAAUAUUAAUUUAUUUUUAAAGGCAGUGAUUUAGUUGAUCAAUUACUACUCCUUAAUUAUGAAUUGAUCUUAGGUCGAGGAAUAAAUAUUUUGGAGAACUUGAAUGGAUGCAUCUCUCCAUAAGCAAGAGUUGUUUAAAUUUACGUAGCAGUAACUUGUUCAAUGCAGAUUUCUAAAUUUUAUUUAGCAGUCCAAUGAAUCAUCAAAGAGAAAAACAUCUUUAUUCUUAGUUAUUUAAAAAUUUUAAACAUAAAACUAAAGUUAAUGUAAUAUUGUACUGGGGCCUUUUCUAUAAAAUAGUAAAAAAUAUAACCUCUUAUUGUGGGUAUGUGUGUAUACAUGUAUGUCAUCUUGAAAUAGAAGUGCUACUCAUGCUGAUUAUCAAAGUCUGUAAGGAGCAGAGAGGAAUUAGGUUAUUAUAGAAAGUGUUUGUUCCUGACAGAAGUUGACUGACUAGAUCUAUUUUAUUAAGUAUCAAUAAACAGUCACUGGGGUGCCUGGGUGGCUCAGU